rnacentral:sRNA from 1 species
GCUGGGCACAGUGGCUCAUGCCUGUAAUCCCAGUGACUCAGGAGGCUGAGGCAAGAGGAUCGGAGUUCAGCAAAAGUGAGGCGCUAAGCAAUUCAAUGAGACUCUUGUCUCUA